rnacentral:rRNA from 1 species
UCACUUGUUCUUUAAAUGGGGACUAGAAUCAACGGCAUCACGAGGGUCUUACUGUCUCCUUUCCCCAAUCAGUGAAACUGAUCUCCCCGUGAAGAAGCGGGGAUAUAAAUAUAAGACGAGAAGACCCCAUGGAGCUUCAAGCUCAACAAUUACUCUUUCUUAAUAACUAGGCAUCUUCAAAGAUCUAUUUGUUAGCUUUCGGUUGGGGUGACCACGGAGAAAAACUCAACCUCCGUAAUGAAAAGAAUAAAAUCCUAAUCUAAGAGUCGACACCUCUAAGAAUCAACAAAUUGGCAUAAAAUGACCCGAUACUUCGAUCAAUGAACCAAGUUACCCUGGGGAUAACAGCGCCAUCCACUUUAAGAGUUCAUAUCGACGAGUGGGUUUACGACCUCGAUGUUGGAUCAGGGUGUCCCAGUGGUGCAGCCGCUACUAAAGGUUCGUUUGUUCAACGAUUAA